rnacentral:rRNA from 1 species
CCUACGGGGGGCAGCAGUGAGGAAUAUUGGUCAAUGGACGAGAGUCUGAACCAGCCAAGUAGCGUGAAGGAUGACUGCCCUAUGGGUUGUAAACUUCUUUUAUAUGGGAAUAAAAUGUUCCACGUGUGGGAUUUUGUAUGUCCCAUAUGAAUAAGGAUCGGCGAACUCUGUGCCAGCAGCCGCGGUAAUACGGAGGAUCCGAGCGUUAUCCGGACUUAGUGGGUUUAAAGGGAGCGUAGGUGGAUGGUUAAGUCCGUAGUGAAAGUUUGCGGCUCAACCGUAAAAUUGCAGUUGAAACUGGCGGUCUUGAGUACAGGUGAGGUAGGCGGAAUUCGUGGUGUAGCGGUGAAAUGCGUAGAUAUCACGAAGAACUCCGAUUGCGAAGGCAGCUUACUAAACUGCCACUGACAUUGAGGCUCGAAAGUGUGGGUAUCAAACAGGAUUAGAUACCCUUGUAGUC